UACAGAGGGGGCAAGCGUUGUUCGGAAUUACUGGGCGUAAAGGGCGCGUAGGCGGCCUGUUAAGUCGAACGUGAAAUCCCCGGGCUCAACCCGGGAACUGCGUCCGAUACUGGCAGGCUUGAAUUCGGGAGAGGGAUGUGGAAUUCCAGGUGUAGCGGUGAAAUGCGUAGAUAUCGGGAGGAACACCAGAGGCGAAGGCGGCGACCUGGACAAUUACUGACACUCAACUGCGAAAGCGUGGGGAGCAAACAGG
rnacentral:rRNA from 1 species